rnacentral:rRNA from 1 species
AGUGAACGCUGGCGGCGUGGUUAAGACAUGCAAGUCGAGCGACAGUAGCAAUACUGGAGCGGCAAACGGGUGCGUAACACGUGAGCAAUCUGCCCUUAAGUCCGGAAUAGCCCAGGGAAACUUGGAUUAAUACCGGAUGGUGAUGAGUCAGGCAUCUGAUUCUAUCCAAAGCUUGUAACGGCGCUUAAGGAGGAGCUCGCGGCCUAUCAGCUAGUUGGCGAGGUAACGGCUCACCAAGGCUAAGACGGGU